GAUAAACGCUGGCGGCGUGCAUGAGACAUGCAAGUCGAACGAAGGAUCGGGCUUGCUCGAUCCUUAGUGGCGGACGGCUGAGUAACGCGUAGGUGACCUACCCCGAAGUGGGGAAUAACUGCCCGAAAGGGUGGCUAAUACCGCAUGUGGUCGCACGUUCAUUCGUGCGAGUAAAGCCGCAAGGCGCUUCGGGAGGGGCCUGCGUCCGAUUAGCUCGUUGGUGGGGUAAUGGCUUACCAAGGCGACGAUCGGUAGGUGGUCUGAGAGGAUGAUCACCCAGACUGGGACUGAGACACGGCCCAGACUCCUACGGGAGGCAGCAGUCGGGAAUUUUGCUCAAUGGGGGAAACCCUGAAGCAGCAACGCCGCGUGAGGGAUGAAGGCCUUCGGGUUGUAAACCUCUUUUGUCAGGGACGAUGAUGACGGUACCUGGCGAAUAAGCCACGGCUAACUACGUG
rnacentral:rRNA from 1 species